rnacentral:lncRNA from 1 species
UAUGAGUCCGGGCAGAGUCUUUCUUGGCGUCGUGGAUGGAGCCCGCAAGGGUCAAUCCCGCUGAGAACUUCGGCCGUGGGUAUUUUAUACCCAACACCAGUCCCCCUACUUCCGAGUUUGAAUUUUGAAUGAAGGAAGUACAGAGAGAUUGGCAUAGCCGAUGUUGUCUCCUCGAAUCCUGUUCACGACCGCCCCCAGAUAUCUUGGCAUUAAAUGCGCGCGUGCUGGAGUCUUUUCGAAUCGGGGCGAUACGAAGGGACCC